rnacentral:rRNA from 1 species
UACGUAGGGUGCGAGCGUUAAUCGGAAUUACUGGGCGUAAAGCGUGCGUAGACGGUUAUUUAAGUCGGAUGUGAAAGCCCCGGGCUCAACCUGGGAAUUGCAUUCGAGACUGAAUAGCUAGGGUGCGGUAGAGGGAAGCGGAAUUUCCGGUGUAGCGGUGAAAUGCGUAGAUAAUCGGAAGGAACAUCAGUGGCGAAAGCGGCUUCCUGGACCAGCACCGACGUUCAGGCACGAAAGCGUGGGGAGCAAACAGG